rnacentral:rRNA from 1 species
AUGAUCCAGCAGUGCCGCGUGGGUGUUGAAGGUCUUCGGAUUGUAAAUCUCUUUCAACGUGGACCAUGAUGACGGUACCCGUAGAAGAAGCCCCGGCUAACUUCGUGCCAGCUAAUACGAAGGGGGCAAGCGUUGCUCGGAAUGACUGGGCGUAAAGGGCGUGCAGGCGGUCUAUAGCUGUUGGGUGUGAAAUUUUGGGGCUUAACCCUGAACUUGCAUUCAAGACGUGUAGACUGGAGUAUGUGAGAGGAUAGUGGAAUUCCCAGUGUAGAGGUGAAAUUCGUAGAUAUUGGGAAGAACACCGGUUGCGAAGGCGGCUAUCUGGCGCAUAACUGACGCUGAGGCGCGAAAGCGUGGGGAGCAAACAGGAUUAGAUACCCUGGUAGUCCACGCUGUAAACGAUGUGUGCUUGAUGUUGGGUGAUUUAUCAUUCGGUGUCGUAGCUAACGCGAUAAGCACACCGCCUGGGGAGUACGGUCGCAAGGCUG